CUUUAUUGUGGGUGGGAGCUCGCCUAAUGAAAGGGACAAUGCGAAGAUUAGCAGUGCCAGCCAGGCAGCUCAAACUUCACCCUGGCUUUAAUUGCUGAGAACAAGAAGAGAUGUGGAAGCAGGGCAAACAGAGGACAAAAGAGCAGGGGAAGGAGGAGGCAAGAGGAGGUAUGAAGACUGGAUGAUGAAUGGAGUGACCCAAAGCCAUUGGAGGUGCGACCGUCUGAAGAUUCCCACCCUUAUCCCCACUUGUAUGGUUCAUUCAAAAGACGCUUCGACCUUAGAACCCGACCCUUCACCACAGAUGAGAUAUGGCGUCAGAGCUUCAACACAGCAGAACUUGACAAGGACACAUGGAAAACUUGAAGAAAACUUGGAAGAGGGACGUGCAUGUCUGGGCGUGAUGCACGUCUGACUUGUACAUAUGCAAGAGCUUCUGCUCAGAGAAAAAAAAAAGAUCGCAGACAAAAAUCACAAUAGCCAAGAAUUUGAUUUCAACUACAGUCUAUCUGAGCCGGACCCCGUUUCUAAAUUCCAACUGGAGCUCAUUUGAGGAUUGAUAUUGGAUCCAUGCCAAUAGAGAGCCCACUCUCCGCAGGUCGCUCUCCUCAUGUUGGUCACCAUCCGUGUGUGACGACAUGUGUCUGUAUUGGGAUUGUGUGGGGAUGUUGACAAGUGGCUGCAGAUCCUGUCACGCACUUUUGGCCCGGAAAUGUAACGAGCGUCUCCCACACUUCUCAAAAUGUAUCCUUCAAAUCGUCACACUAUAAACCAUUAGUCUCAGAAAGAUUCGUUACACAGACAUCUGUCCAGGUCCGGCGUCACGGAUAGCGCAUGUUUGGCGCGUGAGCAGUGGUGUGCUGGGUUGAGUUGCACCUGUAUCUACAUCCAGUGCAGCAGCCAUGGCCCUGUGUAGUGACACAUCCGGCGGGACAAUUCUACAUCACCGCAGAUACGUGAGAAGGGAAACCACAGGAGAUUAAGCUGAAUAAAUAUGCUCAGCAUCUGUUAAAGUUAUUCUUCAAAGCUAUUAGCAUAUUUUCUUGGCAUACGCAUGCAUAUAGGCUGAAACGCAGCCCGCAGAAGGAACUCGUGUCUGGCUGUUACACCAGUCACAGCUGCCAUUACUUCCCCGCUACGAGGGCGAGUCUUGACGAACAUUUCAUCGAGGUAUUCACGCGACUGUGCGUAGAAUAACGCGGCAAACGCUACCCUCCCAGUGUGAUCACAUUCGGCACCGCUGCCGCUCUUUUUGAGGUUCGCCUGCGGCUUCCAUAUCUAGUGGCACAGAUCCUGCAGCAAAACCGCCGUUCAGAGGGCACAGAGAGAGAAGGAGCAGUGUCCUCAUUUAAAAAUCUAUCUGAAAGAAAGAUAGGCUUGUGCACUGCGCUCAUAGAAACGCUGGAUUUACUUAUGGUCCCUAAAGUCUUAAAAAAGAAAGUGGAGCGGGAGCCAGAGCCUUCAGCUAUGGAGCUCCUCUACUGUGGAGUCAUCUCCCAGUUUCAGUCACGGAGGCACUCACACUUUUGGAUGAAGCUUAUAGUCGGAGCUGGCUCAGGUCUGCCCCCGGUGAGCUUCCCUUCCCUCCUCUCCCAUGUUGCUGACUCCUUCUCCUGAGUCCUUGUGCUCGGUCAGUGUUGUACAUGUAUUUUUGUUGAUAUGCUAUGUUACAUGGGACAUCUAUUGCACUUCUGUCCAUCCAGGGAGAGGGAUCCCUCACUUCAUUUCGUAUAGUUUUUCCUCACACUAGUCGAGGUUUAGAGACAGAGGAUGUCACACCUACGGACUGUUAAGUUUUAUGAGACAAAUUGUGAUGUGUGAAUCUGGGUAGGAUCUAGGAUUGAGCCUUUAUUCUUUCUAUGCAUUCAAAUGAAACCAAAUUUCUAAUUAGCACAAGUGGAUGGUAAAGAAGCAGGAUUUCAUUCGACACUAUCUUGUGUUUUAUUCAAAAGCUGCACAGCAUUGGCAGUGCUGUACAGUCAUCCACACUAAGUGUAAACGUGGUCAUUUGAUCAGUUAUUCAUUCGUCGCUUUUAGGCCACCCUUGUUGGCAACCAGCGGUUUGUGUUUAAUGAAGCUGUUAUUAGAGCACACAUGGCCGCUCGGCUUUUAAUACACACUAAAGAACCAAUUAGCAGCAGAAUAUUCUCAGGGUGAACAGGAACGGGGAAUUAAAAAUGUACCUCAGAUGUUCAGGCAGCAAGAGAUGCAAAUGUGGCUCAUUGUCUCAUCACCUUGUAUUGACUGCAGAGGGAGAUGAGGGUUUAUUAGUCAUCUCUCAUACAUUUAUUGAAAUAAAUCAUUAAGUUUGGGUUCACUGUUGAGUCAGUUUGCUGACAAGAUUAAGAAAAUAUGUAAUUUAAGUUUGUAAUUA